GUUUUUUUUUCUCUCGAGGCGGGUAAAAUAAUCCAACACACAAAUCCCUCCCAGCCCACGCGGCACGCCGCCGCUUGCCUGGCCACCGCGGCGUGCCACACGUCCUCCCGCGCCAGCGCCAGCCUCCUCCGUCUAAACCUCACCGGCUCACCGCUCUCUAGAACCCGAACGCCUCCUUCGUUCAGCAAUCAGCAGUUGGCCAGUUACCGACCGCUUCCAGCAUCCAGCCAAGCCCGCGAGCCGCACGCCGCUCCUGCUCCCGCUCCCGCUCCGAGCGCCUCAGGCCAUGUCAGGCGGCGUCGGCCCGACGGCGGGGGGCGGCAUCACGCUGCCAUCCAUGGGCGCGCCCCCGCCGCCGCUGCACCCGACGCCCACGUCGCCGACGACGCGCCCGCACCACCACUACUACCUCUUCUCCAUCAAGCAGCUCAACACGCUGGGCGCGGCGGCCGUGCUUGCCUUCUCCACCACGGUCCCGCUCUCGGAGAUCGCCUUCGCGGUGCUCCUCCCCCCCUACCUCCUCGUCCUCGCCUGGCUCGCCUUCCCGCAGCGCCCGGGGAAGCCCAACCCGGCCGCGCCCGUCUUCCCGGGCGUCGGCGGGCGGCUCCGCCUCGCCUUGCACACCGCGGUGGGGUUCGUCGUCGGCGCCGCGCUCCCGGCGCUCUACAUCCUCGACGGCCUCCGGGCCGGGGACACGGCCGGCGUCGCCGCCGCGGCCCCGCACGCGUUCCUCCUCUCCGCGCAGGUGUUCACCGAGGGCAUCGCGGCGGCGUGGCCCGGCACCUUCUCGCUCCCCGUCAGGGCCGCCGUGCCCGUGAUGUACAGCGCGCGCAGGAUGUUCGCGGCGUCCGAGUGGCUGCGCCAGGAGCUGCAGGAGCGGGACGACCUCGGGCGCGGCCCGCCCGUGCCGCCGCGGCGGGUGGUGGCCGGCAGGGCGCUCGCGGCAGCCAACCUCGCCUUCUGGGGGCUCAACCUCUUCGCCUUCCUGCUGCCCUUCUACCUGCCCAGGGCACUCAGGAGAUACUAUCUCGGCAACGACCAUGAGGAUGACGGCGGCGCACGCGCGCACUCGAAGCAGCAGCAGCAGCAGCAACAGGGUGAAGCGAAGAAGGAUUCGUAGAUCAGGGUAAAAUAGACGUGGAACAAGCUGUACUACUGCCUCUGUGCCUGCAUUAUGUAUGCCAGUAGCUUAUCUUGUUUGAUGCAUACAAAACUUUCCAUGUUAUUACCAGCAGAGAAACGCUUACAAACUGCUAAUAUCUUCUAGUACUACCAACAAUUUUAUUCAAUGAAUCUAUCUAUAAAC
rnacentral:misc_RNA from 1 species